rnacentral:piRNA from 1 species
UGAUUUGGUCAUAGCUGGAUGUGAAGAUGU